GGAAAUCAUAUCAAAAAAUCAGAAGGCAUGGAAAUAGUACAAUACAAGUGAAAAUGACCAGACUCCAAUCACUUUUGUUCACUACAAACAAUCCAGAAUAAGAAUCCGCCAGCCAUUUGGCUUCUCAAUUUUGGUAAGAUGUGAAAAAAAAGGAGGAAAAGAAAAUCCAAAGACAUAGGCACACAAGUUCUAUAUUCCAGCCCCUCUUUUGCAAUUAGAUCAACCCUAAAUGAUUUCUUUUCUAAACCUGCAUUCUUCUUUCCACCUCAAAAAUAAACCCUAAAAUAGAUCAUUUAAGCACUAGAAAGAAGACUUCACUACCUGUCCUGUGUCACCCAAACAAUUAUCAAACCAUUCUGUCACCCUCAUACAUAUCAUUGAACACAUUUCAUACUAUGAGCACUUGUUUAGGUGUUCAAGCCCCCAAGGCUAUUUUGAGUUCUCUAACAAACAAAACUACAAAAAUUGCCAAUUGAAUUUGG
rnacentral:misc_RNA from 1 species